UACGGGGGGGGCAAGCGUUGUUCGGAAUUACUGGGCGUAAAGGGCUCGUAGGCGGCCAACUAAGUCGGAUGUGAAAUCCCCAGGCUUAACCUGGGAACUGCAUCCGAUACUGGAUGGCUUGAAUCCGGGAGAGGGAUGCGGAAUUCCAGGUGUAGCGGUGAAAUGCGUAGAUAUCUGGAGGAACACCGGUGGCGAAGGCGGCAUCCUGGACCGGCAUUGACGCUGAGGAGCGGAAGCCAGGGGAGCAAACGGG
rnacentral:rRNA from 1 species